rnacentral:rRNA from 1 species
UACGAAGGGGGCUAGCGUUGCUCGGAAUCACUGGGCGUAAAGCGCACGUAGGCGGACUCUUAAGUCGGUGGUGAAAUCCUGGAGCUCAACUCCAGAACUGCCUUCGAUACUGGGAGUCUCGAGUUCGGGAGAGGUGAGUGGAACUGCGAGUGUAGAGGUGAAAUUCGUAGAUAUUCGCAAGAACACCAGUGGCGAAGGCGGCUCACUGGCCCGAUACUGACGCUGAGGUGGCGAAAAGCGUGGGGAGCAAACAGG